ACUCAAAUGAAUUGACGGGGGCCCGCACAAGCAGCGGAGCGUGUGGUUUAAUUCGAUGCAACGCGAAGAACCUUACCAGGGCUUGACAUGCAGCUUACAGCCGUCGAAAGGCGGUGCCCGCGAGGGGUGUUGCACAGGUGCUGCAUGGCUGUCGUCAGCUCGUGCCGUGAGGUGUUGGGUUAAGUCCCGCAACGAGCGCAACCCCCGGGCUUAGUUAGUUUCCUAAGCCGACUGCCGGGACCAACCCGGAGGAAGGUGGGGAUGACGUCAAGUCAGCACGGCCCUUACGUCCUGGGCUACACACACGCUACAAUGGCCGGUACAGCGGGCGGUGCGAAGCCGCGAGGCGGAGCGAAUCCCUGUAAAGCCGGCCCCAGUGCAGAUCGGGGGCUGCAACUCGCCCCCGUGAAGUCGGAGUUGCUAGUAACCGCGGGUCAGCACACCGCGGUGAAUACGUUCCCGGGCCUUGUACACACCGCCCGU
rnacentral:rRNA from 1 species